GCAGAAGUGAAAUGAUGCCCUUCUUUAUCUGAGUGUCUUCUCUCUCUGUGGCUGAGAGACCUUUGCCUGAUAAUCACCAGCACCUAAUUAAUCUGGCCCUUAUCAUAAAAGACACUUUACUUGUGUAACAGCAGUGAUGAAUCUUGAUGCCCUUGCUGAAGCUAAUCUUUAACACAGUUAUAUCGUUUGAUCGCUUGAUCCCCGUAGAAUCAGCUGUAACCGUGCGUAAAACAUGAUAACAUGGUGUCACCAGACGACCGUGUCACCAGAGACUGGCUCGGAGGGUGUGCUGCAGACGAUCCGUCAGGAUCUCCAGCUCCUGGGUCAGCUUGUACUCCUCGCGAAACUGCUCGCCCAGCAGCACCAGGUCCCGGGUGGCGUCGUGCAGCGGGAUGUCGCUCAGGUACAGGCCUCUUCGCGUGAGAUCGUCCAGGUUCAUAACGCUGGUCGUCGAAGUGAAGAGGAAAAGGUGGUAAACUGUGGACGACUCAUUUAUUGCUGCUGUUUACGGCCUUUUAAAGCUCCAGUAUCUUUGGCCAAUAUGCUAAAGCUAGCACUAGCUGUAUGGAUGGAGGCAGUGCUUGUGUCAGGGCAGGCUGCACUGAGGCCAUACCUGGGUGAGCAGAGAAAAAGGAUGUUCUCUGCCUCCGGCAGGUAAAUCAUCUGUCCUUUCAGCCGCAGACAGCUGAUCUCCACCCCCGUCAGCUCGUCCUCGUUCUCUACUGUCUCCACAUUCAGCAGGCCCUCCUGUCAGGAUUACAUCACAUUUAUGAAUAUUUCAUUACAUGUUCUUCUCUAAAUCUGCCUCAAAACUGUCCCUGGCACCUGUUCAGCUCGAUCUUUAUUUUUAAAUCUGCGCGUUUUUUGCUUCGGCUGCGUGCGUGCGUGCACAUGCGUCAUCCAUCACUGGGUAGAAUUCAGCGCGUUGUGCGUUUGUUUUUGCUUUGUUACGUAUUUUUCCCCGCAGCAUCAACGAUUGCCUGUUUGUCGUGAGUACAAACUUCAGCUCUGCUUCAUAAAUAAAUAGCUGUAUGAAAUUGUACAUAUUUACCUCUUUGAAUGAAUAAUUGUUUGCAUGCUAAUAUUUGCCUGUGAACAAUUUCCUCCUCAUUACCAAUGUUGAUGAAGCCUGUGGAGUCAAAAUAUUAUGCAGGUGCUAAAAAUAUCAGUGAGCUCAUAAAUAUUAAUAUUAUAAACACUUUUGUCUACUAUCAAGGUACAUUUUGAGCAUUUAGACUCUGGCGUGGUGCCAUUAGCUUUCUGAGAGAGGGUCUGUACCCGCUCUUACUUUAAGUAUAUUAAUUGUAGUGUAGGCACAAGGAGUGGUGAGAGCAGUAGUGAUGUGUACUGUACCUUGCUUCGCAGCACGAACACGGUGUUGAUGUGAGAGAGGAUGCCAUGAUAACUGAAGUCAAUGUGAGGCCUCACCAAGGAAAAAACUGAAGGGAGGUUACAGGUGCCAGGCUGGAGCUGAGGAGCACAGUAGAAGUGUGCAUAUCUGACUUGCUGAAUGUUGAACCCGGUCGGGCACAGUUGGGUCGGAUACCUGUGGCAGGACUCGGUAAAUGGCGUUUCCACACUGUGUGAGCAUCAGGUCCUUGUCAAACAUGAGGUGGAACGGGAAGGCUUUGCAGA